UUAAGCGACUAAGCGUACACGGUGGAUGCCCUGGCAGUCAGAGGCGAUGAAGGACGUGCUAAUCUGCGAUAAGCGUCGGUGAGGUGAUAUGAACCGUUAUAACCGGCGAUUUCCGAAUGGGGAAACCCAGUGUGUUUCGACACACUAUCAUUAACUGAAUCCAUAGGUUAAUGAGGCGAACCGGGGGAACUGAAACAUCUAAGUACCCCGAGGAAAAGAAAUCAACCGAGAUUCCCCCAGUAGCGGCGAGCGAACGGGGAGGAGCCCAGAGCCUGAAUCAGUGUGUGUGUUAGUGGAAGCGUCUGGAAAGGCGCGCGAUACAGGGUGACAGCCCCGUACACAAAAAUGCACAUAUUGUGAGCUCGAUGAGUAGGGCGGGACACGUGGUAUCCUGUCUGAAUAUGGGGGGACCAUCCUCCAAGGCUAAAUACUCCUGACUGACCGAUAGUGAACCAGUACCGUGAGGGAAAGGCGAAAAGAACCCCGGCGAGGGGAGUGAAAAAGAACCUGAAACCGUGUACGUACAAGCAGUGGGAGCCUCUUAAUGGGGUGACUGCGUACCUUUUGUAUAAUGGGUCAGCGACUUAUAUUCUGUAGCAAGGUUAACCGAAUAGGGGAGCCGAAGGGAAACCGAGUCUUAACUGGGCGUUAAGUUGCAGGGUAUAGACCCGAAACCCGGUGAUCUAGCCAUGGGCAGGUUGAAGGUUGGGUAACACUAACUGGAGGACCGAACCGACUAAUGUUGAAAAAUUAGCGGAUGACUUGUGGCUGGGGGUGAAAGGCCAAUCAAACCGGGAGAUAGCUGGUUCUCCCCGAAAGCUAUUUAGGUAGCGCCUCGUGAAUUCAUCUCCGGGGGUAGAGCACUGUUUCGGCAAGGGGGUCAUCCCGACUUACCAACCCGAUGCAAACUGCGAAUACCGGAGAAUGUUAUCACGGGAGACACACGGCGGGUGCUAACGUCCGUCGUGAAGAGGGAAACAACCCAGACCGCCAGCUAAGGUCCCAAAGUCAUGGUUAAGUGGGAAACGAUGUGGGAAGGCCCAGACAGCCAGGAUGUUGGCUUAGAAGCAGCCAUCAUUUAAAGAAAGCGUAAUAGCUCACUGGUCGAGUCGGCCUGCGCGGAAGAUGUAACGGGGCUAAACCAUGCACCGAAGCUGCGGCAGCGACGCUUAUGCGUUGUUGGGUAGGGGAGCGUUCUGUAAGCCUGUGAAGGUGUGCUGUGAGGCAUGCUGGAGGUAUCAGAAGUGCGAAUGCUGACAUAAGUAACGAUAAAGCGGGUGAAAAGCCCGCUCGCCGGAAGACCAAGGGUUCCUGUCCAACGUUAAUCGGGGCAGGGUGAGUCGACCCCUAAGGCGAGGCCGAAAGGCGUAGUCGAUGGGAAACAGGUUAAUAUUCCUGUACUUGGUGUUACUGCGAAGGGGGGACGGAGAAGGCUAUGUUGGCCGGGCGACGGUUGUCCCGGUUUAAGCGUGUAGGCUGGUUUUCCAGGCAAAUCCGGAAAACCAAGGCUGAGGCGUGAUGACGAGGCACUACGGUGCUGAAGCAACAAAUGCUCUGCUUCCAGGAAAAGCCUCUAAGCAUCAGGUAACAUCAAAUCGUACCCCAAACCGACACAGGUGGUCAGGUAGAGAAUACCAAGGCGCUUGAGAGAACUCGGGUGAAGGAACUAGGCAAAAUGGUGCCGUAACUUCGGGAGAAGGCACGCUGAUAUGUAGGUGAAGCGACUUGCUCGUGGAGCUGAAAUCAGUCGAAGAUACCAGCUGGCUGCAACUGUUUAUUAAAAACACAGCACUGUGCAAACACGAAAGUGGACGUAUACGGUGUGACGCCUGCCCGGUGCCGGAAGGUUAAUUGAUGGGGUUAGCGGUAACGCGAAGCUCUUGAUCGAAGCCCCGGUAAACGGCGGCCGUAACUAUAACGGUCCUAAGGUAGCGAAAUUCCUUGUCGGGUAAGUUCCGACCUGCACGAAUGGCGUAAUGAUGGCCAGGCUGUCUCCACCCGAGACUCAGUGAAAUUGAACUCGCUGUGAAGAUGCAGUGUACCCGCGGCAAGACGGAAAGACCCCGUGAACCUUUACUAUAGCUUGACACUGAACAUUGAGCCUUGAUGUGUAGGAUAGGUGGGAGGCUUUGAAGUGUGGACGCCAGUCUGCAUGGAGCCGACCUUGAAAUACCACCCUUUAAUGUUUGAUGUUCUAACGUUGGCCCGUAAUCGGGUUGCGGACAGUGUCUGGUGGGUAGUUUGACUGGGGCGGUCUCCUCCUAAAGAGUAACGGAGGAGCACGAAGGUUGGCUAAUCCUGGUCGGACAUCAGGAGGUUAGUGCAAUGGCAUAAGCCAGCUUGACUGCGAGCGUGACGGCGCGAGCAGGUGCGAAAGCAGGUCAUAGUGAUCCGGUGGUUCUGAAUGGAAGGGCCAUCGCUCAACGGAUAAAAGGUACUCCGGGGAUAACAGGCUGAUACCGCCCAAGAGUUCAUAUCGACGGCGGUGUUUGGCACCUCGAUGUCGGCUCAUCACAUCCUGGGGCUGAAGUAGGUCCCAAGGGUAUGGCUGUUCGCCAUUUAAAGUGGUACGCGAGCUGGGUUUAGAACGUCGUGAGACAGUUCGGUCCCUAUCUGCCGUGGGCGCUGGAGAACUGAGGGGGGCUGCUCCUAGUACGAGAGGACCGGAGUGGACGCAUCACUGGUGUUCGGGUUGUCAUGCCAAUGGCACUGCCCGGUAGCUAAAUGCGGAAGAGAUAAGUGCUGAAAGCAUCUAAGCACGAAACUUGCCCCGAGAUGAGUUCUCCCUGAGACUUAGAGUCUCCUGAAGGAACGUUGAAGACGACGACGUUGAUAGGCCGGGUGUGUAAGCGCAGCGAUGCGUUGAGCUAACCGGUACUAAUGAACCGUGAGGCUUAACCU
rnacentral:rRNA from 1 species